rnacentral:rRNA from 1 species
AUGUUAGGCGGCUUGAUAAACUUAGCCGACACACUGCCUUCUGACUUGACGAAGUUCCUAGUCCAGUCGUACGACCCAGACAGUUCAGCUUUGGUAUUUCCAGGCAGGGGCACUAUUCCAGUAGAUGCUGCUAGUGUGCACAGGAAUUUUGGUUUACCCAACAGAGGGCCGCGUCUGAAAUACAUUGUUGAAAAGGAGGUUGUGAAGAGUUUCAAUCACAUGUUCAACCACACCGGGCCACCCAAACACCCCACGAUCACCGAAUUCAGCAAGACGAUGAGAGCUAUGAAGGGAACAACUGAUAACAAGUUCCUCACUGGCUGGCUUGCAAUUGGUUUCAACACCUUUUUAGCUCCUACCACAAGUCUUUCUCUGAGCCCACAUUGCUACGGUGCUGUCCUAGAACCUGAUGUUCUGUUGAAGAGUAAUGUGAGCUUAUUUGUUGUUGAGCACAUAAACAAAGCAUUCCGCAACAUGGGUGAGGACAAGCAAACAGUCUGUUGCUAUCUGUAUCAUUUGAUGGUGAGCUGUAAUUAA